rnacentral:tRNA from 1 species
GCCUUCGUGGUGUAGUGGUCAGUGCGCUCGACCCGUAACCAACCGAGAGGUCCGUGGUUCGAUUCCCGGCGAAGGAG